UACGUAGGGUGCGAGCGUUAAUCGGAAUUACUGGGCGUAAAGCGUGCGCAGGCGGCUUUGCAAGACAGAUGUGAAAUCCCCGGGCUCAACCUGGGAACUGCAUUUGUGACUGCAAGGCUGGAGUGCGGCAGAGGGGGAUGGAAUUCCGCGUGUAGCAGUGAAAUGCGUAGAUAUGCGGAGGAACACCGAUGGCGAAGGCAAUCCCCUGGGCCUGCACUGACGCUCAUGCCCGAAAGCGUGGGGAGCAAACAGG
rnacentral:rRNA from 1 species